rnacentral:rRNA from 1 species
CCUACGGGAGGCAGCAGUGAGGAAUCUUCCGCAAUGGGCGCAAGCCUGACGGAGCGACACCGCGUGAGCGGAGAAACCCUUUUGGGCGUAAACUUCUGUUCUGAGGGACGAAAUAUGACGGUACUCAGAGAAAGCC